GACGAACGCUGGCGGCGUGCUUAACACAUGCAAGUCGAACGGUGAAGCGCCUUCCUUUUUGGUGGGUGUGGAUGAGUGGCGAACGGGUGAGUAACACGUGAGUAACCUGCCCCCUUCUUCUGGAUAACCGCAUGAAAGUGUGGCUAAUACGGGAUAUUCUGGGUCUGUCGCAUGAAGGGUCUGGGAAAGAUAUUGUUUCGGUGGGGGAUGGGCUCGCGGCCUAUCAGCUUGUUGGUGGGGUGAUGGCCUACCAAGGCGGUGACGGGUAGCCGGCCUGAGAGGGUGGACGGUCACACUGGGACUGAGACACGGCCCAGACUCCUACGGGAGGCAGCAGUGGGGAAUAUUGCACAAUGGGCGCAAGCCUGAUGCAGCGACGCCGCGUGAGGGAUGGAGGCCUUCGGGUUGUGAACCUCUUUCGCCAGUGAAGCAGGCCUGCCUCGUUUGUGGGUGGGUUGACGGUAGCUGGAUAAGAAGCGCCGGCUAACUACGUG
rnacentral:rRNA from 1 species